rnacentral:rRNA from 1 species
GACGAACCGUGCGAACGUUAUUCGGAAUCACUGGGCUUAAAGCGCGUGUAGGCGGGCCGGCACGUCGGUCGCUGAAAUCCCCCGGCUCAACCGGGGAAGCGGCGCCGAUACGACCGGCCUGGAGGGACGUAGGGGGGGCUGGAACUUCCGGUGGAGCGGUGAAAUGCGUUGAGAUCGGAAGGAACGCCCGUGGCGAAAGCGAGCCCCUGGACGUCUACUGACGCUGAGACGCGAAAGCCAGGGGAGCGAACGGG